rnacentral:rRNA from 1 species
AUUGAACGCUGGCGGCAGGCCUAACACAUGCAAGUCGAGCGGAUGAGGGUAGCUUGCUAUCUGAUUCAGCGGCGGACGGGUGAGUAAUGCCUAGGAAUCUGCCUGGUAGUGGGGGACAACGCUUUGAAAGGAACGCUAAUACCGCAUACGUCCUACGGGAGAAAGUGGGGGAUCUUCGGACCUCACCCUAUCAGAUGAGCCUAGGUACGAUUAGCUAGUUGGUGAGGUAAAGGCUAACCAAGGCGACGAUGGUUAACUGGUAUGAGAGGAUGAUCAGUCACACUGGAACUGAGACACGGUCCAGAGUCCUACGGGAGGCAGCAGUGGGGAAUAUUGGACAAUGGGCGAAAGCCUGAUCCAGCCAUGCCGCGUGUGUGAAGAAGGUCUUCGGAUUGUAAAGCACUUUAAGUUGGGAGGAAGGGCAGUAAGUUAAUACCUUGCUGUUUUGACGUUACCAACAGAAUAAGCACCGGCGAACUUCGUGCCAGCAGCCGCCGUAA